UUGUAAUCGUGGUGUUAUUCAUUCAUUAAUGUGUCCUUUCUUACCUUAAAUAACUUAUCAUUUUUUACACCUUUUGUUUUUAUUGUCUAUAUAGUAUUGUCUACAAUCCCAAAUUCUGGAUUGACGAUCCAGUACCAGUGGGCACCCCAAUCCCAGAGAGCAUCCAUCUGAAACCAGGUGAUGGUGAUUUACUACUAAUCAAGGAACUGGCUUUACUGACGAGAUGCGCAUGAUAUCGCAUGCGAUUUAUCGUGCAUCACAAGAUUUCACAUUAGUGGCAACACAGCUUAGAGUAUAAACAUUUACAUUUCUCUGAAUCUGAGUUAAUAGUAACAAAUACAGAGCUUAUAAUGUCUGUCAUUGCAACCACAAAGACCUAAAAGUACAGCCAGCUGAUUUCAUAACUAAUGCAGUAUUACACUGUGAAGUGAUUUACUGUUAAUAUUUUACACUACCAUAUAAUUAACUCUAUUUGUACAGGUAAGGUAACACAACGAAAAAAUGGAGACUACCUGAUUCUUCACCUAUGGCCUCAGCUUCAAAUGCAAGAAGAAAUGCUAUAUGACUGUGUAUUUUGCAUUAUGAAUACAUCAAAGAUGUUGAUAACAAAGUGAUCUGCGUCCAGCAACUGUCUGAGUUGGUAGAUAUUCUGUCAGAGACUGCGUGAACAACGUUAUGAAUAUAAUGAUGUCAAAUUGUCUUAUGGCAAAGUUCAAUAUGAGGGGUGGUGGACAUCUGGAAAAGAAGUCUUUUAAAGGCACACCUUUGUAUUAUGUUAUUCAAGAUGCUGUGAAGAGGUGGAGCCCAAAUGCCACAGACUCGGAAAUAGAUGCAGCUGUGGCAGAUCACCUCAAGCACGGUCCAGGAAGAGCUGGGGGUGGUGGAUAAAAAAAUGUCUAACAGCUGUGAUGUGUUAAAGAGAGAGUUCACCAAAAAAGGAAAAUUGUUAUAAUUUUCUUAUCCACAUGUUUCAAACCUGUAUACCUUUCUAUUUUCUGCUGAACACAAAGAUUGAAGAAUGUUUGUAACUUCACAACCCAUUAACUGUCAAAUUUUUUUUUUUUACAAUUGUAGUAAUGGGUUGUGAGAUCUGCUUUGUUAAAAACAUUCUUUCAAAUAUCAGAACAUAGAAAGGUAUACAGGUUUGAAACAUGAGAGGGAAUAAAUGACUAAAUAUACAUUUUUGGGUGAACUAUCCCUUUAUACAAAAGUGUUUUGAAAUUGUUAUUAUAGUUAAAUGGUUAAAAAAAAUAAAAAGUGCUAAAUCAGAACAUGCUUUUUUUUGUUAUGGCCACAAAUAAUGUGUUCUUUAAUGUGUUUGUGAAGUACACGUGGUUAAAACGCUUUAUGGACGUUCAAUUUUGAACCGAUUUUGAACCUUUGUGAAUAUGUGUUAAACCUCAAUACAAUUGAUUGCCUUUCACGAUGUUACACAAUGGGUGUAUAUUCAUUUUAUAUGCAUACAUUUAAACUAUGCAGCAACACAUUUAAACAUCCAGAAGACGGCACAUUUAGACGUCCAGGGACGGGCAGAAAAGACGUGUAAUU